AACGCACAUUGCGCCCCUUGGUAUUCCGAGGGGCAUGCCUGUUCGAGCGUCAUUAUAACCACUCAAGCUUUGGCUUGGUAUUGGGGUUUCGCGGUUCCGCGGCCCUUAAAAUCAGUGGCGGUGCCGUCUGGCUCUAAGCGUAGUAAUUCUCUCGCUAUAGGGUCCCGGCGGUGGCUUGCCAGAACCCCCCUAUUUUUCUACGGUUGACCUCGGAUCAGGUAGGGAUACCCGCUGAACUUAA
rnacentral:misc_RNA from 2 species